CCUACGGGUGGCAGCAGUGGGGAAUAUUGGGCAAUGGGCGCAAGCCUGACCCAGCAACGCCGCGUGAAGGAAGAAGGCUCUCGGGUUGUAAACUUCUUUUCUCAGGGACGAAGCAAGUGACGGUACCUGAGGAAUAAGCCACGGCUAACUACGUGCCAGCAGCCGCGGUAAUACGUAGGUGGCAAGCGUUAUCCGGAUUUACUGGGUGUAAAGGUCGUGUAGGCGGGUACGCAAGUCAGAUGUGAAAACCAUGGGCUCAACCUGUGGCUUGCAUUUGAAACUGUGUUUCUUGAGUACUGGAGAGGCAGACGGAAUUCGUGGUGUAGCGGUGAAAUGCGUAGAUAUUAGGAGUAACACCAGUGGCGAAGGCAGUCUGCUGGACAGCAACUGACGCUGAUGCGCGAAAGCGUGGGGAGCAAACAGGAUUAGAUACCCUGGUAGUC
rnacentral:rRNA from 1 species